GACGAACGCUGGCGGCGUGCUUAACACAUGCAAGUCGAACGGAAAGGCCCUGCUUUUGUAGGGUGCUCGAGUGGCGAACGGGUGAGUAACACGUGAGUAACCUGCCCUUGACUUUGGGAUAACUUCAGGAAACUGGGGCUAAUACCGGAUAGGAGCUCCUGCUGCAUGGUGGGGGUUGGAAAGUUUCGGCGGUUGGGGAUGGACUCGCGGCUUAUCAGCUUGUUGGUGGGGUAGUGGCUUACCAAGGCUUUGACGGGUAGCCGGCCUGAGAGGGUGACCGGCCACAUUGGGACUGAGAUACGGCCCAGACUCCUACGGGAGGCAGCAGUGGGGAAUAUUGCUCAAUGGGCGGAAGCCUGAUGCAGCAACGCCGCGUGCGGGAUGACGGCCUUCGGGUUGUAAACCGCUUUCGCCUGUGACGAAGCGUGAGUGACGGUAAUGGGUAAAGAAGCACCGGCUAACUACGUG
rnacentral:rRNA from 1 species